AGCUCAGUGGUAGAGCGCUUGCUUCACACGCAAGAAGUCGCAGGUUCGAACCCUGCA
rnacentral:tRNA from 1 species